rnacentral:rRNA from 1 species
AUUGAACGCUGGCGGCAGGCUUAACACAUGCAAGUCGAACGAGUGGCGGACGGGUGAGUAAUGCUUGGGAAUCUAGCUUAUGGAGGGGGAUAACUACGGGAAACUGUAGCUAAUACCGCGUACCAUAGGAUGAGCCCAAGUGGGAUUAGGUAGUUGGUGAGGUAAAGGCUCACCAAGCCGACGAUCCCUAGCUGGUCUGAGAGGAUGACCAGCCACACUGGGACUGAGACACGGUCCAGACUCCUACGGUAGGCAGCAGUGGGGAAUAUUGCACAAUGGGCGCAAGCCUGAUGCAGCCAUGCCGCGUGAGUGAUGACGGCCUUCGGGUUGUAAAGCUCGUUAAUCGGGAAGACGGUACCGGAAUAGAAAGUCACGGCUAACUACGUGCCAGCAGCCGCGGUAAUAC